CGUGGUAGUUAGUUUAAACUAAAACAAAUGAUUUCGACUCAUUAGAUUCUGGCUCACUCAUAACUACCAAC
rnacentral:tRNA from 1 species